CUUGCUGGUCUGAUCAGUGGCGAACGGGUGAGUAACACGUGAGCAACCUACCCUUCACUCUGGGAUAAGCCUUGGAAACGGGGUCUAAUACCGGAUACGAGACGCACGGGCAUCUGUAGCGUCUGGAAAGAUUUAUCGGUGGGGGAUGGGCUCGCGGCCUAUCAGCUUGUUGGUGGGGUAAUGGCCUACCAAGGCGACGACGGGUAGCCGGCCUGAGAGGGCGACCGGCCACACUGGGACUGAGACACGGCCCAGACUCCUACGGGAGGCAGCAGUGGGGAAUAUUGCACAAUGGGCGCAAGCCUGAUGCAGCGACGCCGCGUGCGGGAUGACGGCCUUCGGGUUGUAAACCGCUUUCAGCAGGGAAGAAGCGCAAGUGACGGUACCUGCAGAAGAAGCGCCGGCUAACUACGUGCCAGCAGCCGCGGUAAUACGUAGGGCGCAAGCGUUGUCCGGAAUUAUUGGGCGUAAAGAGCUCGUAGGCGGUUUGUCGCGUCUGCUGUGAAAACCUCAGGCUCAACCUGGGGCUUGCAGUGGGUACGGGCAGACUAGAGUGCGGUAGGGGUGACUGGAAUUCCUGGUGUAGCGGUGGAAUGCGCAGAUAUCAGGAGGAACACCGAUGGCGAAGGCAGGUCACUGGGCCGCAACUGACGCUGAGGAGCGAAAGCAUGGGGAGCGAACAGGAUUAAAUACCCCUGGUAGUCCAUGCCCGUAAACGUUGGGCACUAGGUGUGGGGUCC
rnacentral:rRNA from 1 species